rnacentral:lncRNA from 1 species
GCAACGGCCGCCACUGCUACGACCACGACCACCACACGCCUCCUAUCACCGACCACCACCUCCAUCGCCCAUCAAACCCUCCGUUCCACCUUAUCCUCCUUCACAAAACCCGCAUCCCUUAAAACUCUCAGACUAUCCACCAAACUCCACGUUUCUUCCCCUACCGACAAACCCAUCUCCACCACCACCACCACCAAACCCACCCAAGAAACCAUCUUUUUCGACGGCGGAGCACACUACGGUGACCUCGUCGCAAAUCUCCUCCUGGGUUUCACUCUCGUUUGGCUGCCACUCACUCUAGCCGCAGUUCUCAGAGGGUUUUUCUUGCGAUACAGAUUCACAAACUUACGGGUCACCGUGAUAUCCGGGUUAACGGGUCAGGACAGGAGUGAUUUUUCAUAUAAAGUCGUCAAAGAUGUUCAAGUUGUACCAAGGUUUAUUGGUGAAUGGGGUGAUGUGAUCAUCACUUUAAAAGAUGGAACUAAGGUUGAUUUAAGAAGUGUCCCCAAAUUUAGAGAAAUUGCCAAGUAUUGUUUGUCCAUGGUUGAGAAAAAAGGUGCUGAUGAAUUGGAAGAGAGCGGUGGUGCUAAAGGGUUUUGAUUUUCGAUUAUGCACACCACCUGUUCGAUUAUAUGACACCGGGAAGUUGAGGUUUGAAUCUGGUUUAUGGUGGGUUUUCUUUGAUCAGAAGAGGUAUGUACAUUUUCAUAAUUGCUAGUUUGAUCAAGAUUUUCGGUUAUAUAUGGAUGGUAUAAUUUUAUGUUUAAGAAGUUACUUGGUGUUGAAAUUUGAUGUACAUUUGAUAUUUUAGUAAAUUGAAGGUAUCAAAAUUUUCUGUAAUUUGCGUUUGCAGAAAAGAAAUUUACCAUUUAAUUUUUAUCUCCAAUUUACAAAUUUGUUUACGCUUGUUCACGUACCCCAAUUGAAAUAAAUGUUGAUCAUUCAUUUUUUUGAUGAUUAGAGAAUUUAGUGGUAACAUAUAUGGAAUAAACACACAACUACUUUUGAAAGUUAAAGCUACUACUAUUGCUAAAGACAAGACUUCGAAAAUUUAGCCAUGACAUAUGUCAUAGCACUUACAUUAUAAUAUAGCAAGUAUAUCCAAAUCCCAUUUGGAUCAUCAAAUAACUUGUUGCUUAUACAUGAUGUUGAUAGUUGAUACUAAUGUCAUUCUAUUAUAUUGAAGGCACAUAAGUUUGAUAUAACACAAUGGUUUGUUUAUAUAUCCUUGCAUAUUGAGGCUUAUUACAUACAACAUGGGCUUCUUUUUCCUAAUGGACUUUUAACUCCACAAAGCCUAUUGAUGCAUUAAUUUGACCCAAGUCUUCUCCACUAUGAUGACCCAUUGGUCUACCAUAUCCUUUCAGUUAUAGUAAACCUAAAAGCCACAAACAAUUGGAUUUAUCCUUUCCCCCUUUUUUUUUACAUAUAACAUGACUUCUACCAUUAAGAAGUUUAAACCAAUCUUUUGGUUGUUUUCCUUUAUAUAUAGUCUCACAACAAGCUCAACCAUAAUGCCUUUUAGACCCGUUUGUUACACAACACAAAAAAUAACACGUUGUAUUGUGUUUGACAUACAUUAAACUGAUACAACUGGUAGUAUACAUAUCAUGUAUUGUGGAGUUGUGGAGGAAGGUAUAGGUUCACAUGCAUCAAUGACUUGUAAUCCUACACAUUAAGUAGUUGUACUUAUGUAACAGUAGCAAAAUACAUAACAGUUUUAUGUGUCAGUGAGUAGUGAUGGAAGCCUGGAAGGACCCUUUAAUUUGAGAGGUUGGAAAGGAAUCUAUUUGAGUACCUUCACUUAUUAUUAUUGACUGACUUCACCAUACACACACACACACACACAUAUAUAUAUAUAUNNNNNNNNNNNNNNNNNNNNAUAUAUAUAUAUAUGAAUAUCUUUUCCCAAGUACAUUCCCUCUUAGCUAGCCAAAGGACAAUCAUUCUCCUCCAACUCAUAAAAAACAAAUUUAUCAACAUUUUAAAAUAAAAUCAAUCUUUAUAAAAAAAGUUUUUCUUCUUAAUACCAUAUCAUUAUGUCCGAAAAACAAACGUCGUGUAAGAUGUAAAUUAGAUAUAUAUUAACGAACUAGAUGAGCCGACAUAAGAACACGAUAUCUACAAGGAGCUUAAUCCAUAUUGGAAUUGGAGAGCUUAAUCCAUAUUGGAAUUGGAACUUGUUAUGUGAGUUGUUGAAACUUGAACUCUUAAAAUAAUCAAUUGGUGACCAUUUUAAAAUAAGAUUUUUUUUUCUACAAAAGGGUUAUUUUUCUUGCUAAUUCCAAGUUGCUCCACAAAGUUUUGUCCUAAUAACAUCACGUCAGACGUAAAUCAGAUAUACGUUAUCCAACUAUAUAUGCUCAAAUUAGAGCCAAAUGUCACAAGAACCCUAAUCCAUAUUAGAAUUCAAACUCAUAUCAACUCUUAAAACAAUCAAUUUGUGACAAUUUUAAAAAUAAGAACAUAUUUCUACCAAAAAGGUUAUUUUUUCUUGCAAAAUUUAAACCAGUCCACAUGGUUCUAUCUUGGAAUUGAAACUUCAUAUUGUUGUUCAAGUUUUUGAGGAAGCAUUAAUUAUUUAUGCAAGCAUACAACCCUGGAAGUGUGUUAUGUUGUGGGGGCUUAAAAAAUAAGACAAUUUUAUUAACAUUAAAAAAGGGGGGCAGGAGUAGGAGACACCAUGGAUGCUUUUGAUCUGUAUUUUGAGUGAUUCCAUGGUUUCUUUAUCUGCCAUUUGUUAUGAUACAAGUUAUGAGGCAUGAUGGGGAUUAAAAAAAGAAGGAUCCUAGACGGUGGUGUCUAUUCAAAGUGUGGUGGCAGGUGGUGGCUCCGCCUUACCCCUUCCUCUCUUUAUUGAAAUAUGUUAAAGAGAAAGAAGAGGGCCUAAUGGUUGCAUACUUGGUUUCUUCUUUUUUCCCUUUAGAACUUUGCAGGCUGCAAUGGGUAUGUUCCCCUUUUUAACCCGAACCCACCUCCAAAAUGAGUUUCUUAUAAAAUGGGUAAAUUAUUUAAUGUGGUAAACUAUAUAUANNNNNNNNNNNNNNNNNNNNNNNNNNNNNNNNNNNNNNNNNNNNNNNNNNNNNNNNNNNNNNNNNNNNNNNNNNNNNNNNNNNNNNNNNNNNNNNNNNNNNAUAUAUAUAUCUUUUCAUUUGAUUUAAUACAAAAUGAAAUGAAUAACUUACAAAAAAAAAUUGAGGAAAUAAUGUUUUCUUUUUUAAUUAUUAUUUCUUUCAUUUCUUCAAAUAUAAUUUUAUUUUCUUAAACAUUUUAAAAACAUCAUUUAUCAAUAAAGAAAAAAGAAAAUAUCCAUAAUAACCACUUUUAAAUGUUUUUACUAUAAAAUAGCAAAAAGAGUUAAAAUGAUCUAUUUUACCCACAAUUUUCACAAAAUGCANNNNNNNNNNNNNNNNNNNNNNNNNNNNNNNNNNNNNNNNNNNNNNNNNNNNNNNNNNNNNNNNNNNNNNNNNNNNNNNNNNNNNNNNNNNNNNNNNNNNNNNNNNNNNNNNNNNNNNNNNNNNNNNNNNNNNNNNNNNNNNNNNNNNNNNNNNNNNNNNNNNNNNNNNNNNNNNNNNNNNNNNNNNNNNNNNNNNNNNNNNNNNNNNNNNNNNNNNNNNNNNNNNNNNNNNNNNNNNNNNNNNNNNNNNNNNNNNNNNNNNNNNNNNNNNNNNNNNNNNNNNNNNNNNNNNNNNNNNNNNNNNNNNNNNNNNNNNNNNNNNNNNNNNNNNNNNNNNNACGAGGGUGUUGAUUGUGAAAAUCCUUGGUUGACUGCGAAUGCUGAUGUCAUCUUUCAAUUUUUUUUUUAUCUCAUGCAUUGUUUUAUUAUUUUGAUGAAUCCCUACGAAAAUUAAUAGCUUUACCUAUUAAAACAAAAAGGUUCCCAUUAAUUUAUUUCUUAUUUAUGAUACCAACAUCCAUGGAUAAAAUUGUAUUUGUAUGACACAAUUGCUGCAUAGGAUUCCUAAUAUUUAUUUAUUUAUUAUAUAUUUAUUUAUGUUUUAUAACUUUUAGGAGAGCAGUAAAAGAUGACUCAAAAUGAGGGUGUAAAGAUGGAAAAAGGUAGUUAAUAAAAAUAAAGAAAAAGAUAUAAUAUGCAGAGAGAUAGCAACAGUAAUACUAGUAUAUAUCUACUGCAUACUAUGACUUCAAAAAGGCAACUCCAAUGUCCACAAGAACCCCACCUCAUGGAUCCAAAGCAAACCUAAUUUUUAUGUAUACUAUUUACAUUCUCUUUCGUAUGCAAACAACAUAAAUUAUCUUAUUCUUUUCUCUUUACAAAUGUCAAAAAUAAUUUUCAUUUAUUGAAUAUCUUUUCACGUUGAUACAAUAAAGGUUUAACUUUUUCAAGGUGAUAAAAUAGUAUUAAGUUUGCUUUUUGUGUAAUUUAUUUUUUUUAUUGCAUUUAAUAUGAUAUUUUUUUUAUUAUAAUGCAUUUCAAUUGGAUAACUAUGUCAUAGCAGAUGACAAGGUUGACACGAUGUCAGCGUAAGGUAAACCCGAAUGAACAAAUUCCGUCACAUUGAAUAUCAUAUUGAGUACUGGUAGGAUUCGACACUAGUUUAUACAGUUGAAAUAUAACUUAAUAGUGUAACGAGAUCCUAAAAAAAGUUUAUUCACCUAUUAACCCUAAAUUAAACAUGUUGAUAAAUAUAAAAAUAUCUGGCUAUCAAAAAAUCAUGUUCGUAUAUGUUACUGAUUUUUUUUUGGAGCAUAAUCUCUGAUAUAUAAUUUAGUGAAAAGAUUUAAGAAAAAGUGGUGUGUACUCUUGUUUGUUUGUUGCUUGUGGAUGUGGGGAGGGGAUUAAAGUACCAAAUUCUCCCUUUUAUGAUUUCACUUUGUAUUAUAAGUCCAACUUAGAAUUAGAGAUAAUAUAAAAGAGGGUCUCGAGGGAGCGUCUACUGCUAACCUACAUUCUUCUAUUUGGGCCCUUCAUAUUAAUAUACAAUUAGAGAUUAUCAUUAUUAUCGUUAGAUUUAUUAUUUUUAUGUGAUUAUGAUGAGAAAAGAUAUGUUCAUACAAUCAUAUCACGUGAAUAAUUAAUGUAUCAGUUUUGAUAUAAAACAUUAUUGUUAUAAUGGGUUAAUAUAGCUUUCAGCCAACUAACUAUUUGAAAUAUCUAUUCUGUUAAAACCUUGGCUUUUGUUUUUAGUUCCAUUUAUGUAAAGCAAUUGAGUGAAAAUCACUACUAAUUACCUUGAGAUAAUGAAGAGGAGUAGAAGUUCAUGUUUUGCACUUGAGAUUGUUUAUUGGAACAAUUUACUUGUCAAUCUAACCUGUUAAUGUAAUCAUUUACAACUAGACCUAGUCAUACUUAUGCUUUUAUAUUUCCUUGGUACUCAAGUUUACUUGGUACUCAAGUUUACUUGGUACACAAGUAUACAUUUGAGUGUAAUGGUAUUUUUAUUAGACUAUAGGUUACUACACACAAUAGUUAGGUUUAUUAUUUGUGUAUAUAAUGAACCAUUUGUUGGAAACAAAAUGGAUUUACCUAUUUUCCAAAAAAAGGGUUUUCCCAAUUUUGAACAUAAAUUCAUAACUUGAUUCAUUAUUGAAAUAUAUCACAGUUAUACAUUUGUGUGUCUCCUCCAUGAUAUCUCAGGUUUGGUAUAUUAGAUGCUGAUGAUGGAAUUAUGAUGAAUGGGAAAUUAAUAUCUAAAGUGAGGUUAAUAUCGGAUAAAGAAGUUGAAUGAGUUUAUGUCAUCCCACAUAGGUGGAAGGAGGAAGAAGUGAGUUUAUAAGUACAAAGGCCUUUAAGCCUUUUAAGACUUAUAACACUAUCUGAUUCACUAAACUCGUAUACAAUCGCUCAAGAUCACAUGUGAAUGUACCACCGAUUGACAAUAAAAGCUUAGGUGAUUUUUAGCAAAUAUUUCUUUAAGAACUAGAAAUUUAUUAGAUUUGUAGUUACAAAAUUUGCAUUAAACAUAGUUUUAAUCAUAGAUUGUCGAUUUUAAUUUCAUGGUCUCAUCUUUACAAAAUUGAUGUAAACUUGUAGGUUAUAGAUUUCUCUCAGUGAUUAUGCACCUUGUGUGAUAGGUGAAACACACGAAAUACUAUUAGACACUCUACUCCUCUACUUCUUACUUGCAUUCUUCUAUUGUGUUCAAGGUAAAUACCAACUUAGCUAGGUUUGGGGGGUCUAAAAGAACCACUUUUAGUUGUUGUAUCAUGGAUUCAUCGAAAACGAGGAACUUAGAGAACUUAAGCAACUGUUAGGUAUGUAAGGUGCACAUAGAGAAUUUACAUAUGAAGUGUAGUGAGUAUGUGGAUUAUCUAUAAUUUAAAGCGAACUUGAUCUUACACAGCCUAUCAUGUAUGUCACGACGAUUCAGACACAUAUAUAAAAAGAAACAUUGUUGCAAUAGUUGAACUUUUAUGAUGGUGGUGCAUUUGUAAGAGAAAACCUUAGUUUUAAGAGAUCAACAAGGCUUAGAAGCCUUCCUACUUAUGUGAGAUGGAUUAAAAACACAUUUAACCACUUUUUCCAAUUUAUCAAACUCUCACUUUGAAGAUUAAUUUAUCAUUUAUUUUACUUUCGUUUUGAGUUGUAUAAUAUAUUAAACAAAUGUAUCACAACAGAGAUCACAACUAUAUAACUAUUUAUUUAUUUUAAUCACAUGUAUGGUUUGGAAUUCGUGUUUAGAAUUUGAAAAACUCAUUUACGAAAAUUGGUUGAACCAAUUUAGUCGUGUUGCGCAUAAGCUGGUCUAGACACCCUCGUUAGGAGUGACGCUUCUUUCUAGAAAAAAAGACUAUAAUUCAAAUGCAAAUAAUAAAAAUAUAUAUUGAAAGCAUUUCAGAAUUGCUGAGGGCCAUUUGAUGGAAGUUUAACCCCUCUGAUCAGGGAUUUGUCCCGAGCACUUUUCACAUCAAUAUGUAAUCCUUCCAUAUAUCAGAAAUCUCUCAUCAAUUUUGAAAUGCUUCCAUAUUUCAUCUGGAUUAAAAGUCAACUUCUAUAAGUCUCGAUUAUUGGGCAUGGGGGUUUCAGAUCAGGAAUCUAAGGACUUAUCAAGAGUGUUGGGGUGUGCUGAAGGAUCUUUCCCAUUUAAUUAUUUGGGAGUACCAGCAGGAGCAAACAUGGGUCUGAAGAAACAUUGGAAACCCAUCAUUGACAAGUUCAGAUCUAAGUAUUUGAUGGUAAGGCCAAGACGCUCUCAUUUGGUGGCCGCAUUACUCUUAUCAGAUCAGUUCUAAACAACUUACCUACCUACUUCAUGUCUCUUUUCAAAGCACCACAAGGCAUUCUUGACACUCUAGAAAAGAUCAGAAGGAAUUUCCUAUUAAGGGGGAGGGGGAAUUAAAGCACAAAGUUCACUGGAUUGAAUGACAAAAACUAACAGCUCCUAUCUCAGAUGGUGGUCUAGGGGUCUCGACACUAAAAGCACAUAAUUUGGCACCACCGGUCAAAUGGUGGUGACGUCUGAUGAAUGAAAAUGGAAGCCUAUGGAAAACAGUUGUUAUUAGUCUACACAAUCUGGCGAUGAAACCUGCACACUUCCUUCCCAAUGCUUAGAACUUGGACUAGAACCAUUCACCAUUAAACUAGGGACCUUAAACUUCAAGUUUGUGUAGUUUGCCAUGGGUUUACGGCCGUAAACCCUGGGUCGUAAACUCCAAGGGGAGUGGUCCUUGGGCCGUAAACUCAAAUGCAAUGCCUUACACCCCUUUGAUGCAUCCCAAAGGCCCUCUAACACUUAGACCAUUGUGUUUUCCAUGUUUUAGGGUGUUUAUACUUGCUUAAUUGGUGUUAUAAUCACUAAUUAGAUACAUAUAUAUAUAUAUAUAUAUAUAUAUAUAUAUAUAUAUAUAUAUACAAUAUAANNNNNNNNNNNNNNNNNNNNNNUCAAGUCUUCACUUGACACCAAGCACCUUGUCCAACACUUCCAUACAAUCCACUCACUACAGGUGAGUUCAUACCCCUUAAUUAACCUUUUAAAUUUUUUUAAAUGAUUUUAUGGGGGGGAGUACAAGUUGAAUCAUACUAGUUAUUAUAUCAAUCACAUGUGAUUAAUAACUAGCACACAAAUGGAUUUACUAUACUUUAAACUGUUUUGUCAAGAAAACUACUUGAAAAUGAUUAUCAAAUACUUUUACAUGUUAAACUCUUUAUAAAACUUAGUCUUAGUUUCCAAAUCUUUACUUUCAAUUCUUUAAACAUUAUAUAUUGUCAAAUCAUGCCCAAUGCAUAUAUAGUUAUAUAAGUAAGGUUUGAAGGACUUAGGACUGAGAAUACACUCUAUUUCUUGUUCCGUGUUUGGUUGUGGACUUAGAGUACCCUAUUGUUUGUCCGAGUGUCGUUUGACCCUUAGUUACAUAUCAUGUGUAUAUGUAUAGACAUAAAAGCUUGUUAUCUUAUUUCAAUACACUAAGAUAUACACACAACAUUACCAUUAAACUAUAAUAGGUAUAGUUUAGAGAUAUACUACUUACUAUUUCUAGUACAAAGAAACAUACAAAGAGUCGGUUCAUACAUGAGUCGAUACACACUAUAAACAAUACAUAUACUACACUAUACAACUGAACAUACUAUAAUGAGAGUCAGAGAGAAUAUACUACUCACUAGACAGAGAGAACAUACACUAGUAGAUACUAUUCAUACACACUAUAUAUUAUACUAGAGAACUUACUAUGAUGAGAAUCAGGGAAGACAUACACUACACUAGUACAUACACUACAUACACACUAUAUCAUAAAUGUGAGGCACUAGUUCGGGGCAUGGCAUCUCUGUGAUGGCUCGUCUUGUAUCCAGAGUCUCUUGAAGGGAGAGCGUGAAUUCGUGUAUAGAUCUAUACUAGACUGACCGUCUUACACCUUACUGCUAGUUACAGUGGGACCUGCAGGUCUUCGGGUGAUGAAUGUCAUAACAUCUCGACAUCUUUGAGCAUCGUGUUUCACUAAGUCGAUCAAGUAUGGUUACAAUUACAUCACAUUUUACCUUAAUUAAUAAUUGACUUAAGGUAGUUAGUGCAAUAGUAGUUAUAAUAUCAUAAUACUACAGUACUUCAUUAUUUUCCCUUUACAUCUACUUUGUGACCUCCUCACGUAAAGAGUAAUGUAAAAACUAUAUUUUACUAAUAAUAGUCACAUUUGGGAAAGAUACUCACUUUUACAAUGAACAUACAUACAAUACACUUGAUGCCUCUGUAGAAGGCUGCUUUUAAAUGGAAAAUAUAGGAUUUUCUAGGAGAUACAAACAAUUACUACAAACAUUUUACGUACUCUUACAUUCGAACACUUACAAACAUUUUCAUACAAAAUAUGACACUAAAUACUUAUGAACUCACCAGCUUUAAUUCUGAUAAAUCUUUCAAAAUAACUUGUAUUCUCAGGUCGUUAGUAGACAGGUACCGAGGCCAGCUUUUGAGAAGAUGGAGCACAUACAAGACUCAUAUUUUAUUUUUGAUUCAUAUUUUUGGUGUCUUAUAAAUUGUACAGAACACAUUUGUAUUAAAAUACAUUAUUAAUGAAUGGAUGAUGUUGUUUGCUUGUUUACUAUUAUUCUGUGUUGUGAUACUAUAUAUGAGGUCCUCCGCCUCAGAACGUUUCCGCUGUUCUUGGUUUUGGGGUGUGACACUCUACCAGGGUUUGGUGUAACAUACAUAAAGUAGUUAAAGCUAGGGGGUAUUGGUAUUGAUAUUCAUCAAAUAUUCAGACAUAUUCCUGGAUCUGAUAUUCAAAUUCUGUUAUGGAAAGACAUUUGGUGUGGAACAACAACAUUUCAGAAAAAUUUCCUCAUCUCUACAAAAUCGAAUCUAUUAAAAACUGUUUAUUGAGGGAUCAUCUGUCCUCAAACGGAUUCUCUUGGUAUUGGAAGCAUAAUCCAUCCAAUCCGGUGGAAUUACACGAGUUGCUACAAUUAUACACGAAUAUAAGUGAUUUGAACUUCAGUGGGGCACCAUCCACAUAUGGUUUCCGAUUCAAUAUAACAACUGAUGGAGACUACAAGGUAAAUGACAUGAGACGACUCCUCGAUUUAAAAUUGAUCCUCUCCAUAGGUCCUAAGAUCUGUUGGUAAAAAAUAAUCCUGUUAAAAGUUAAGUGUUUUUUUCUGGUGGACUUCGAUGGGCAGGAUUCCUGUGGCAGAUAAUUUAUUAGCAAGGGGAUUAAAUGUUACUAAUCAAAUGUGUCUAUUUUGCAACAAUACUUAGAAUUAGUGAACCACCUCUUCCUCCAUUGUGAGUUUGCCCAAAAUAUACACUCUUGGAUCUUCAAAUGGCUUGGGAUUGGGAAGUAGAAUGUGUUCAACUGUCUUAGAAUUUCUUAACUUAGGUAAUGGGUGACAUAACUGUCAGUUACAAGCACUGAUUGGUAAUAUAAUUUUAUAUUGCACACUCUAGACCAGUUGGAUUGCCAGGAACGAUCUGAUUUUUAAAAAUAUUUGAGUAUCUUCAACAAAGGUUGCAAAUGUCAUUAUCACUAAUUCAUACUCACGGUCCAAAUACAAAAAAAAAAAAAAAAAGAUGGUUGUCACGACUAGCUGAAUGGAUUUGCUCACCUUUUACUCAUUUAUCCUUGUAAUUUGUUUUGAUAUUAUUUUCUUCUUUUUCUCCUUGUAUUGUUUUUCUGUCGCGAUUUAGUUACUUGCUAAUCGCCGACCUUUUAAUGAUAUUUGCCGUUUCAAAAAAUAAAAAAAAAUAAAAAAAUAAAAAAAAAGGAUAAUGGUAAAUAAAUUGAGCCGAACGGGGAGUUGAGAUAUUUUAAUGAAAGGAAUGUAUGGCCAAGUCGCAUCCAAAUCCAAAUUAAUAUAUAUGACUAGUGAAUAAGUUAGCACUCAGCACCUAUAGUUUAUACCGUUAAAUUGCCAACAACCAACUACAUCUAUAAAGAAAUGUUAUGGAAGAAAGUAAAAAAGACAAAACGGCCCUCCACCAUCGAUCCCUUUUGGAAAUUGGACCUCUCCAAAUGCAUAAAAAAAGCAACACGUUUAACAAAGGACAAAGUUACGUCUUUUUCCCAUUAUUAUUAACAUUAACUAAUUGCCAUUGACUGAUUUCGAUUUUAGUUUCACACUCGUGUUAAUAUUGCAAAAUUAAUAGAAUUUAGUUAUUUAAAAAUAAACUAUAAAUAUUAUAUUUAUCUUGGUGUCAAAACUCGAAAUACUAAUAUUCAGAAACUCAGCUCGAAAAUUAUCAAAUGAUGAGUUUAAUUUAAUUUGUUCAAUGGUAUCAAGAUAGAAGGAAUAUAGUAUUCUCAAUUCUCUAGUAUUUUUUAGUUAGUUUAUAAAACAAUCUCUAAAACAGGGCUAAAUGUAUAUAAUAGUCUCGAAUUUUUAUAAAGUUUUAUUUUAAAAAGUGUAUAUUUUAUUGACAAAAUAAAAAUAUAAUUUAAUUUAUGCUUGUUUAUAACGUUUUUAUUUUUAUUUUAAAGCAAAACCGUUAUAAUCAGUUUCAUUGUUGAAUUAUGAUAAUAUUACAUUGUUUUGUGUAAAAUAACGAAAAUAUAUUGCCUAAAAUCCAUGACGACCACGAACUAUUCUAGACAGUCUAGUGAAAUGUUGGCAGACUCGCAACCUGUAGGUGUUUCUGAACUAAGUGUUCACAAGGUGUACUCCACCCCCCUCCCCCAAUCCCACGAUUGCCUUACUGACAUAUAUUGCGAAGGAAUCCCCUAAGCAUUAUUGUCUAUCCUAAAUAUAAUCCUCAUGAUAGGUCCCUUGAAUUAGAUGCUUUAGGGACAGAGAGUUAUGAUAACGGGAAUGGGUAAUCGGGUUGAAUGAUUUGAUGAAAAUAAAUAAUUUAAUUACUAUGGGUUGAAAACCCUAUGUGCUCACCAAGUUCCCAAGCCUGAUCCACUCAGUUUCUUGUAUUACACGUAGUGACAUAAGAGCAAAUGUGUGAUGAUUAGAUGAGAGAUUUAUGAAUUAUAGGCCCGUAGAAUAAUAGAUGUUUGUAAGGCCUAUGUUAUUUCUGUUUAUGCUUAUGUACUGUAUUGACGAUGACAUCCCGACAUUUUUAGUAUAAUUAAAAGAAAUCUCUUCAGAAAUGCAUUGAUAAUAUAUUUAUCAUAUUUCGUGAACAAAUUAUGUAAUGUUAUUCUUUAAAAGGAUACUAUGAUUUUUAAAUAAAGCAUAAAUAAAUCAAUCUUUUUUUGUCGUGAUAUUGGGAAUGUCACAUUCAACGAUCUAAGUUCGAAGCCAAAGCUGAUGAAUGAGUGCUUUUAGGUUACUCUAGUGUGUCCAAGGCUUUCAGGGUGUUCCAAGAAAAACUAUUGAGGAAACUGCUCAUUUUGCGUUCAAUGAAGACUUAUUCAUUCAUGAUCGGAUUGAUCAUCCCUCAUCCAUUCUAAAUGAACUUACCUUUAAUCUAUCAGACCUUGAUUUAGAAUUCUUCCCAAAUGUUACUGAGCCUGUUGUUCCCAAUGUUGAUCAUAUUAUCAACUCUCAAUCUCACUCUGAAGAUCAGCAUGUCGUCUAUAAAAAAGUUGAGCCAUUUAGUUAGGAUGAUUUUGUUCCAAAUAAUUCAAAUGAAUGUUCCAAUCCUAGAAUUCUUCAUCCUGAAUCUUAAAUCACUGGAGAUAUAAAUUCUAGGAUUCUCACUCAUAGCAGAUUCAACAGCAACUUCUGCAUGUUUGUGAAUUUUAUCUCAAUGAUUGAACCAAAAAUGUUGUUGAUGACCUAAAGGAAGCUGAUUGGAUCAAGGAUAUUCAGGAUUAUCUGAAUGAAUUUGAAUGUCACCAUGUGUAGACUCUUGUUCCCAAGCCUCAAGGAAAAACUAUCAUUGACAUUCGUUGGGUGUCCAAAAAAAAUAUGUAUGAAGAUGGGAUAGUCGUUAGAAACAAAGAAAGACUUGUGACCCAAGGAAUUUUCCAACUAGGAGUAUUAGACUAGGACAAAACGUUUUCCCCCAUUGCUAGACUUGAAGCAAUUCGUUUGUUUCUUGCUUUUUCUUCAUUCAAGAACUUCAAAUUCUAUCAAAUGGAUGUUAAGACUGGCUUCUUACAUGGGAAUCUGAAAGAAUAAGUCUUCGAAAAGCAACCUUCAGGGUAUGAAAAUAAAGGGUUUCCCAAUCAUGUAUAUCGUCUUGAUAAAGUUGUAUACUGUUUGAAGUAGGCACCUAGAGCAUGGUAUGAGACAUCGGUGUGUUAUCUUCUAAAUAGUGGAUACAGACAUGAAAAAACUACCAACACCUUGUUCAUCAAGCAUUCAAGAUCUCACAUCAUUCUUGCUCAAGUGUAUGGCGAUGAUAUCAUUUUUAGGUCCACUGAUGAGAAACUAAGUUAUGGGUUCGUUUAUCAUCUGCUGGUGGUGUUGGCUGAGCUGGAAAGAAACCUACCGUGAGGUAUAUAUUGGAAUGUCAUAUAUGAAAUCUUUAUUUCUUAUUUGCCACAGUCGUGGCUCCAACUCAACAAAACGUGUCCUCAUGGUGUUGUGCACAGUUGUGCCCUCCUCUAGCUCAUCACCAUGUUAUCGCCAUGAAAGGUAUACCGGAAGGCCUAAAAUAUCUUGCUUACCCUCCCACCUACACCCCAACGUACACACAUAUAUAUACAUAUGCAUGAACAUACACACAUACACAUACAUACACACACAGGUAGCGCACCUUGUUUUUUCACCGAUUUUUCAAAACACUAUGUGUAACAUUCAUGUGUGUGAUUUAGUUGAAAAUAUUUAGGGGGGAAAAGUUCUUUAAUUCCAUCACAAAAUUUAGUUCUUUAUAUAUAUAUAUAUAUAUACACACACACACACAAAUAUACACACACACACAUACACAUAAAUGCAUGCAUGCACGUAUUCAUUUAUGUAUAUAUGCAUUGUUGUAAAACUUGGGCUAGUACUUGGACUCAACCUCUUUCCGAGGUGAGUUAAGCCAACUUGGCCAAAUAACUUGGAAUUCGGUCAACCUCGGUCAAAAUCGUACCAACUCGGUUAAACUCAGACCAACUCGACGAACUUGUUCAAACUCAUAUAACUUGGUCAAACUAGUUCAAAUGGUCAAAAUUGACUUAAAAUGAGAAAAAAAAUCAAGAAUUUCACGAUUAAUAUAUGUAUUUUAUAUCUAACAUACCAACCUUAAAAUUGAAGUAAGAUACCAGAUAAACAAAUUGUAUAUGAUUUCCCCUCUCUCAUUCCCAUCUUCAAGAUUUUCAUGAUUGAAAUCUUUAAUUUUUUGGACUAUUUUAACAUUCAAACAUGUAUAUUUUUAUUGAUAUUUCACAUACUUUGUUAUGAAUUUUAAUAAACUUUUGAUUUUUCAUAUAUAUAAUUUCUCCAACAUUAAUUACUUUAUAAAAUACCAUAUCUGAGUACUCCCCGUCUAGGCCAAGUGCUCGCUACUCCCCAGUCAACUGAACGAAGACCGAAUAACGAGUUCUGCAACAUUGUAUAUAUGUAUGUAUGUAUGUAUGUAUGUAUGUAUGUACAUAUGUAUGUAUGCAUGUAAUAUAUUAUUGGAUUAUGUGUCUAAGCUAAUAACUAAAUUGAUAUAUACUUGAAUUAAAGAGAAAAUCAGUUUGGGUUGCCUUUACAACUAGUAAUUGACUAGAAUGACUUUUGGAGAGAGAGAUUGAUUUAUUGAUUUAUUAUAUGAUUAAUAAAUAGAAAUAAAUAAUUUGUUAAUAUAUUAUGAGACUAAUAUAUUAAUUAGAAGUACUAUUAUUUAAUUAGUAAUUAAUCAGAAAUUAAUUGGAAUUAAUUUUGGGAUUAACUGGAUUAAUUAAAAGUGUAGGGACUCAAGUUGUAAUUGUUCAAUAGUUGAACAAGAGAGGUUCCAGAACCUUCCGUGGGUUAUGGACGGUUUUUAGGAGUUUUUUUUAAAGGAUUUUAGAUUAAUCCUUAAAGAUAAUUAAUGAGUUGGAUAAUUACCAAAUUUGAAAUAAUAUUAUUAUAUUCAAAUUAAGGUUUCUAAGGCUCCUUGUAUCAGCUAUAAAUAGAGCCCAUUGGCUCCUCAUUUUCGGCCAUCACUUCUACCAAAGGAAUAUCCGCCGAAAAUCAUAUUACCUCUCCCCUCUCAAGUCUUCUUAUUUGCUAGGGUUUUGGUACAAACCAUCAGAUGCAUUAGAUUUAUGGUGCUUGCUUUUUAAGAGCUUUUUGAAGAAGGUUUUGGUUGAUUAUUUGCAAUAACAAUCAAAAGGUAUGUAAACCAUAAUACCUUGUAAUUUUCGAUUAUAAUAGGUUUUCUUUAGGUUUUGUGAUGUUCAUAGAUUGCUGCUAUCAAUAGAGAAAACUUAGAUCCAAAUAGGUUGCAUGUGAACUUACGGGUUAAGUUUUUCCGCCACAUGUUUUAAUUAUAACAUAUAAAACCCAACAAUGGUAUUAGAGUCAUAGUUUUCUAUUUGAUUAUGUAUAAUGAAUAGAUCAAAAUUAAGAUUUAUAGAAAUUAAAACCUAAUAGCCAUGGAUUUUCAAUUUUUCUAGGGUUUCUUUAAACCCUAGCCUCCAUAACCUUAUUUUCGAAAAUGGGGGGUAAGGGGGGGGGGGGGGUCCUUUAGGGUUUUAUCUUGUUUCCUUAAUUAUUAUUUUAAAAGCUUUUAAAUUUGAAUAAUUAAAACCUGAUAAUCCCAACACUAAUUUUCAAAAAUUAGAAGGGUUAAGUUUGGAUUAAGAUUAAAUUUGAAUUAUUUUAAUAAUUAUUUAAUCCCUAGAUGAUUUAAUUAAUUUCAAUAAUUUUUUAAUUAAAAGAUGAAGAUAAAUCAUAAUUGGUUUAACAUUAAUUAAUUAAAAGGUUUAAUUUAUAUAAUUAAUAUUUAAACCUUGUAUUUUGAAAAUUUUAAAAUACACCUUAUAUAUACUAUGAAAAGUUAAAUAUAUUAUAUGUAUAAGACAAGUCAGUCAAAUCGCUAGUACGCCUCAUUCAUUAAGCCAUACUAUAAGAGAGGUAUAAGGAAGCGACCUAUAAAAUGACCAUCAUUGGGUGUCCACUCUCACCCGCCGCUCAUUUGUAUAAUGGAGGGUCGUUAGCUGAACGAAUUUGAUAGCACAUAAUCUCAUUAAAAGUAUAACGAUAUAAAAGUACUAGAACAUUCUUAAAAAAUCUCACUCUAGUUAGUUUUGGAAAAAAUGUGAAAAGUAUGCUAAUCCAUGAAAAUGCACAUUAUACUUUAAUAUGUUGUUAGUGGAGUGUGUGUGGUUAACCGACCCACUAAUAGGGACUUUAAAGAGAAAUGAUGGGCAUCUAAAAAAAUAUCAUUGUUAAUGGAGCGCAUGUGGUUAACCGACACAUUAAUUAGAGAUGAUAAAUAACUUGGAGGUUGCCAAGCAUGUUUGCAUGAUUAUUCAUAUCUUGUUUUUGAUCCUCGGCAUCCCAAUCACAAAUAGAAUAGUAUAAUAAGAGAUUAAACAUGUCAUUGAUAAGAUUCAAUAAAUCUCAACAGAUCUAGGAAUUUCAUAGAUUGAAAUUGAUGAAUUGUUUUACAUACCUUCAUAAAUUUACAAUAAGAUUACGUCAUUAAGGAAUAAAUCUCAAAAGAUCUAUCCUUGAAUAUUUAUUAUGGGUUAAAAUAUUAAGGAAUUUAUAUCAACCAACUAAAAUUUUCUUAUACCAUAGAUGUCUAUUUCCAAUGGUGAUGCCUCUGCUGCUAAACCUCAACCAACAACAACAACUUCACUUUACUAUUAGUCCUCUCCAAAGAGAAACUAGCCGGUCCAAACUACAUGGACUGGAUGCAAAAUCUCAAGAUGAAACUUCGAUAUGAGGGCAAAAAAUAUGUCCUCGAAAAACCUCUUCUUGAAAUCGAUGAGUCAACUGCUACUCUUGAAGAGAUUACUACUUAUAAGAAACACUAUGGCAACGCAACAAAGGUCGUGUGCAUCAUGGUUGCAAGCAUGGUACCUAAGUUGCAAAAGUCCUACGAGGACUACUGGCCAUGUGGGAUGUGCUUGGAUCUUGCGGAAGCGUUCACAAGAAAGCGCGUCAAUAAUGCUAUCAGGUCGUCAAGGCGUUAAUGGCUUGCAAGUUGAAGGAAUGAGACUAUAUGUGAACCAAUAUGUAGAGAAUGCAGAGAUAUGUGGAGAGUUUGGAAAAGCUCAAUGUGUCUUUUGACAUAGAGUUGGUCAUAAACAUGGUCCUGACCUCUUUUCCUCCUAGUUAUGAUCAGAUUAUCUUAACUUAUCAUUUGAACAACACAGUGACCAUAUUGACCCAUGUCCAUAACUUGUUGCAAACUGCUGAGUCGGGGAUGAAGAAGAAUAAUUCCCCUUCUACGAUAAGUGCUCCUGUCAUUUCCAUUAGAAAGAACAGAGGAAAGAAGAGGAAGGCUAAUCCUCAAUCAAACUGGAAGGGCAAGGCCCAUGCUGAAGGGUCUAACAUUGGGUUGAAUGUAAAGCCCAACGUUGAUAUUCCAACUGUAUCUGAUCCCAAGGAGGCCACUUUCUACUAUUACAAUGAAAAGGUACAUUGGAAAAGAAGCUUCCCUAAAUACUUGCAAUACAUCAAGGAUGGCAAGGUCAAGCCAUCGUUGGCAGGUAUACACAUUAUUCAAGUGAAUAAAUCACAAUUUACUAGUUCUUAGGUCUUUGAUACAUGAUGUGGUUUUCACAUUGAUUCUGAUUUGUAGAGGCUAAGAGAAAGUGAGGAGGUAGAGCAUGGAAGAAUAAAUUUGAUCAAGGGGAAUAGGAGAUCUUCACUUGUUACCAAGAUUGGAACUUAUGGUCUUAUGCUCGGUGGUGAUGUUAGAUUAGAUUUGAUUAAUUGUUGCUAUUUGUCAGAAAUGACGCGAAACAUUAUUUCUUUUCAUGCAUUGUUCAGACAAGGUUUUCGAUAUUCAUUUGGUGGUGUGAAUGGUUCGAUUUUAGUUUAUAAAAAUGGUGUUUUAUGUUUAAAGCUUUGCCUUGUGAUGGUGUGUAUGAAACUAUGAUUUGUGUUGAUAGCUUAGGAAAUAGUGCAUUUCACAUUAAUUCGUCUAAUGGUGUAGAAAAAGCAUGUUUGUGGCAUUGUCAUCUUGGACAAUUUAACAAGAAAUGCAUCGCCCAACUCCAAAAGGAUUGAGUGUCGGAACCAUUUGAAUUAAGGUCAGAUGAUGAAUGCGAGUCUUUUCAUUUGGGUAAGAUGACAAAAUCACCUUUCAUUGGGUCUUAUGAAAGAGGUGAAGGUUUGUUGGAUCUCAUACAAAUAGAUGUGUGUGGACCCUUUAGAUCUACCACAAGGGAUGCCCAUCGAUUCCACGAGACAUUUACGGACGAUUAUAGUAGAUAUGGAUAUAUCUACUUAAUCGAAUAUAAAUCAGAAACCUUUGAAAAGUUGAAAGAGUUUAAACACGAGGUCGAGAAUCAAUUGGGCUAUAAUAUAAAGAUGCUUCGAUCAGACAGAGGGGGAAAGUAUCUUAGUAUCGAGUUCCAUGACAUUCUUAAGGAAUUUGGAAUAGUUUCACAAUUGACUCCUCCUAGGAAACCACAACUUAAUGGUGUGGUUGAUAGGCAUAAUCAGACCUUGUUACACAUGGUUCGUUCCAUGAUGAGUCGAGCUCCCCUUCCUAUUUCUUUAUGGGGGUAUGCCUUGGAGACAUCUGCCCAUAUCCUUAAUCUCGUCUCUACUAAAAGGGUUGCCAAAACACCUCACGAAAUGUGGAUAGGGAAAGUUCCCUCACUAGCUCACAUCAAGAUUUAGGGCUGUGAAGUUUUUUUUUUUCAGACAAGAGACUCAUGACAAGCUAGAACCUAGAAGUGAGAGGUGUAUUUUCAUUGGUUACCCACAUAAGUCUCUUGGAUACUUUUUCUACAUACCUAGUGGGAACAUGGUCUUUGUGUUGGAUUUGGUGUCUAAUCCCAUAACUAUUUUGGUAUGUACUUGACCCGAUUGUGAGCAUGGUCCUUUUAGGUUGCCUUCACCAUAGCAACUGAUAGUAUGAACUAAGGAGAAAUAGGAUUAAUUAUGAUUUAUUAAUAUAUUAUAUGAAUAUUAUAUUAAAAGAGAAAUCAUAUUGUUUAAUUAAUAUUAGUCAAGAAUUAAUAAAAAUUAAUUUUGUGGCUAAAAAAGAUUAAUUAAAUAAAGGGGACUGAUUGUGUAAUUAUAAGAUAUUUGCAUAAAUAGGCUAAUUGACUCCAUAGAAGUUGGGGUGGACGAAAUCUAUGGGGAAACCCAUAAGAAUUCGUCCAAGGCCUCUAAGGAAGGAGUCCAUGGGCUGCUUAGGGCCUAAGCAGUCAAAUUAGGGUUUCCUAGUUGAAAACCCCAAUAGCCUACCUGUAUAAGGAACCCCUAAGGCCCCAAAAACGUGGUGAAGUAAUCCCUAAGGGUUCUUGGACGUUUUUGGUGCUCCUCCUCAUUCUCCUAGUUCUUCUUGUUUCUCAUGGUGUUUGUGACUCCAUUAGAGGUGUAACAUUUGAGGCACUAAGCUUUCAAAGGUCAAGAUCAAAAGGAAUUGUGAUUGUUAUUGCUACAUAACAAUCAAGGUAAGAUCUAAACCCUAAUUCAUAUGUUAAUUCGAUUAUUGUAUGCUAGAUCUAGGGUUUAUGAGCUUUGGAUGAUUAUUGCAUGUUCAUUAGACAAACUAGAUCCAAAGAUUUAGGGUUUGCAUGUACACCACAGGAUUGAUGUAGUGCUCAAAACCCAUUUGUGGUAUCAGAGUCUAGACUAUUUGUUUGAUGUAUUUGAUGCUUGUUUAAUCAUUCAUUUCCUGAAAGUCAAAGUUUUUGGUCCUCUGCCUGACUGACUCGGUGAGUCAGUUGAUGAACACAGCGAGUCAUGCUGACUCGGCGAGUCCAAGGGUUAGACAGAGGAAACUUUAGGAUUUUUUUACUGAUUUGGCUUAGGAAAGUUACCAAAACUGUUUUUAACACCGAAAAUUCGACUUUUUAUGUUUGGUAUUGAUUAUCCUAACCCACAAUAAAAGAUAAUUGUCAAAUUAAUUAGAUAAUCAUUGCCUUAUGUGAUUAACUUGAUUUAUUUGAAUUAUUUGAUUGGCUUAUCUUGCCAUAAAAUUGAAUUAGUUUAAAUUUAGAUAAUUCCCAAUUAUUUGAUUAAUUGAAUUAUUUGUAAUUUGAUCUAGAUAGUUUUGAAAAAUUUCAAGACUUGCCCUCAAAUUUUGGAGUUAAAAUUUUUAAUUAAAAGAGUUUAAUUUUGAAAUAUUUAAAUUCUAAACCCUAAUGUUUUGAAAAGUUUCAAAAGUUUUCCUCAAGUUUUGGAAUUUAAAAUUUUUGAUUAAAAGUUUAAUUUUGAAAAAUUUUAAAUUCUAAAACCCUAGUUGUUUGAAAAGUUCAAAUUACACCUUAUGGUUUUAUUAAAUUAAUUAAAUGUAUAAUUAAAAGAGAGUUAAUAAAUCCAUAAUGAUAUGGUUUGUAUUUAAUUAAAUUAAAAGUAUAAUUUUCUUAAAUUAGACCACAUAGUAUUUUAAAAGUGAAAACACACCCUUAUACUAUAUAAAAUUAAAAGUCUAAUAUAUUAUAUAUGUAUAAGUAAAGAGUCAGUUUUACCGUUAGUAGGUCUCAUUCACGAAGCUGGUCUAUAAGGGGUGUUUAAGGAAGCGGCCUGUAAAAUGACCUCCAUUGGGUAUCCAUUCUUACCUACCGAACUCUUGACUAGUGGAGGGUCGUUAGCCGAACGGGUAGGAUAAGACGCAACCAUCCAUUAUAAGUAUAAUGAGGUAUGAAGUAACUAAACACUUUUAUGAAUUCCCAAAUCUUAGUUACUUUAGGAAAAAUGUGGAGUUGGUGCUAUUCCAUGAAAUUACACCUUGUACCCUUGCUAAGACGUUAGUGGAGCGUGUGUGGUUAACCAACCCACUAAUUGGGCUCUAAGCAAAGGUGGCAAAGGGUGACUCGAUGUUUGUCAUAGAUCGAUAGAGCGUGUGUGGUUAACCGGAACGUCGAUUAGGUGACUGUAACAUUGGGGGCACCAUGUAUAUUUUUAUGGUUAUCCACAACUUGUUUGUGAUCCUCGGCAUCUAGUCACAAACGAAGGACACGCUCAAGAUUUAAACAUGCCAUUGAAAAGUUUAAUGAAUCUCAGAAGAUAGAGGAGUUUCAAUUCAUUUAAAACUUAAUUUUAAAUUUUCGUUUUUCAUGGUGAAAUUGGUAAAUUGUCAUUUACCUACCUUCAAAUGUUCUGCAAUUUGGAUUACGACAUCCCUCUUCCAAAUUGUAGAAUAUUGUGUUGGGUCCUAGCCUUGAUAUCUCAUUUGGGUGUUUUUAUUAAGGACUCAAUCAACUAACUUGAAUUUUCUCCCGUUUUGUAAAUGUCAAAGUCUGACAACUAUGGUCAUCCUGAAUCUGUUGGAACAAGUUUUCCUCAUGAAGAUGAUAUUCCAUGAUUUGAUCAUGGAACUCGAGAUCAUUCUUCACUCCCCCACCUCCUCCUAUUGUUCUCUCUGACCGACAUGUUCGAAGACUUGAAAAUUUUAAGGUCACUCAAGCCCUAUUGGCAAUGAAAAACAAAGAUGGAAAGUCUGUAUGUGCUCAUGUCUUGGAUAUGAAGUUGCAUAUUGAUAGAUUGGGAAUGUUGGGUGUCGAUGUCUCAAGAAAGUUGGCUAUUAAGUUGGUUCUUCAGUGACUUCCCUAAUCAUACAGUGAGUUCAUUAGAGAGUACUAUGUGAUAGACCAAGACGUAACCCUCAUUGAUUUGACUUAUUUGCUUAUUGCUGCUGAAUCAGCGAUGAUUUGGCACACUGGUCAAGGAACUUUGUCUGGUAAAUCAAUGUCCCAUUCUUCUAUGGGAAAUGGCAACAUUGGAAGACCAGGAAAUUUUUCUCUACGUAAGAGAAAGGCCGAGUCUGAGAUAGUCCCAUGUACCAUUCCAGAAGAAUCCAUAUGUUUCUACUGCCAAAAGAAGGGGCAUUGGUGUGACAUCCCCAAAAUCUCGGCCAGAAAAGACCGGUUUCAUUUAUGCUUUUAAAAUAAUUUCAGAGUAAAUCCAUUGAUUUAAAAGAGCUGCGGAAUUUGUUCCUAAAACAAAAUAUGAUAAAAUAAAGUUUAUCAAAGCAUUUCAUCAAGAGAUGCAUUUUCAUUAUAUAACAAUAUUCGGGAUGUCAUGGUCCGAUAAACAGACUAAAAGCAUAAACAACAAAAGAUAGACCAUACAACAGUUACAUAUAACAACUAGUCUAAUAUCAAAAGAUCUUGAUAAGUCAUCCAACUUAUGCCCUCGUGCCACUUCCUGUAAUACAAAUAAAACUGACUGGGUCAGGCUUGGGAGCCUGGUGAGCAUAUAGGGUUUUCAACCCGAAAUAAAUAAUUAUAUUUAAUUUCACCAACCAACAAUAACCCGAUUACCCAUUCCCGUUCUCCUCAUUUUACAUCCCUAAAACAACAUCUAUCUCAAGGGACCUAAUCUAGGAUUUUCAUCGGGACGGACAUUACUGCAAAGGGGUUUCCUCAACAAUAGAUGUCCUAAAGGAAACCAUGAGGGGGAUAGAGUACACCGGUGAACACAUCGUUCACAACACCUACAUGUUAUGAGCCUGAUAGCGUUCCACAGGACUGUCUAGAAAGAGUCUGUGGGCGUUAUCCGUACUCCGCUGAAUAACUAGAUCAACAACAACAACAUCGAGGCCUCUCAUCUAUUUAUCACGCAUCAACUAUCUACCCAACAUAUUAGUAGAUAAAAAUAUAUAUUUUUAUACAUAGUUUAAAACCUGUAUGGCAUUCUCAUUCAAUACAUAUCCAAUCAACAGAUGAGACACAUAUACAUAACAUGUAUUUCAUAGAGAAUAAAUCAUAUCUAUGAGAUAGAAGAAAGUAAAUAUACAUUCACACAUAUAACAACAAAAUAUACACAUAACACGUAUUUUGUAUAAAAUACUUCAUAAUUAUGCGUUAGAAGAAGGUAACUACACACUCACUUGAUCAGAAGAUGAUCAGACAACAGUACGGCUCUAUGACUAGUAUUCUUCGGUGAAACUGGGUUCACUUCACUCACCGGGGCUUCUUACGGGCAGAGCUUCGGCUCGGAAACUCUUUUCUUUGCGGGAUAUUUGAGCUUUAGGACUUGAUACGGGUCUCGGGAUGAUACCAUGGCUUCGGGGGUACUUCUUUACACGUAAAUCGAGGUAAUAUGCCUGAGAGGAGAGAAUUUGAGCAACCAAACUAGGCUGGCCCUUCAAAUAUAUUUAUAGGGCAAAAUUUGCCCUUGCGACAUCAUGGUACGGUUUACCACGUCGUGGUGGCUGGGUCGUCACUACAUCUGUCAUUGCAAGUGGGUCUGACAAACUCCAGAGCUCCUGCCACGUCAUGACACUUUUACCACGUCGUAGUGGCUAACAGUUUUGGGGUUUCGCGCCUCGAACUUCAGAAAUUCAUAACUUUCCCAUACGAACUCCGUUUUCGACGUUCUUUAUAUCGACACGUAGGUGAGAAUACGCUCUACAACUGUUGUUUAGACUCUGUUGGCUAAUUUUGAAUUUAUUCUAAAUAUAUUAUAAAUGUAUUAAUUUUCUAUUAUUUUUAGUAGGCCAGGACAGGAAAACUCUGUUAUGAAUUCAUAACUUCUUCAUCUGACGUCCGUUUUCGCCUAUCUUUUUAUCGUUUCACUACUAUUAACGAGAUAUUUGAUUCUCGUUUAGAUUGUUUCGGCUGAAAAUCACUCAAUCUCAAAUCGAGGAUUCGGGCUGGAUACUGCUAAGUCGAAACUUCGGAAAAAUCAUAACUUCCUCAUACGAAGUCAGAUUUGGGCGUUCAUUUUAUGGACGCACUCAGUUUAACGUAUCCUACGACUUUCGUUUAGAUUACUAAGGCUAGGUAUCGCUCUAUCUUAAAUUCAUAUUUUACCUCAUUCCGUGUCGUGUCGGUUCUGUCGCGAAACUUCGACAGGUCAUAAUUUCUUCGUUAUAACUCGGAUUUUGGCAUUCUUUAUAUAUUCGGAAACCUCGUUUCAACUACUACAACAUUAUCCAUAGAUAUCGACUUUAUCUAACAUUUCAUUUUGACGCUUAUUUUUAUCCUUAAUUUAUUUAAGUGACACAGUUAAGCACAAAACACAUAAUUCUCAAAUAAUACACUUAUAUUAUUUCAAAAUGGGUUACAGAGGUUAACCUAGACAAUUAUAUCAACGUUAAUGACAAGCCCAGAAACACAGGCGUUUCAAUUGUCUCCACAUCAGAAUGAUUCCGUCCCUCGAAUCACACAUCAACAAACAAAUGCGGGUAGCGACUCAUCAUGUCACUCUCCGUCUCCCAGGUGAGAUUUGGCCCAUUCGUGUGUUUCCAUCGGACAAGCACUAACUCGACCAUCUUGCGUCGCAACUUCUUAGUCUUUCGGUCUACGAUUGCCUCUGGUUCUUCAACCAACCUUUUGUUCUCAUCGAUUCUCAACUUCGAAAGUGGAAUCAUGUCGGGAACUUCUCCCAUGAAUUUCCUCAAGUAACACACAUGAAAAGUGUUAUGAAUUCCAUUCAGUUCUUCGGGUAAUUCGAGCUUGUAAGCUUGGUUCCCAAUCCUUUGAAGAACUUUAAACGGUCUAAUAAACCUCGGACUUAAUUUUCCUCUUUUACCAAAUCUUAUAAGUCCCUUCCACGGUGUGACUUUAAGCAAAACCGAAUCUCCAACUUCAAAAGUCGUCUGUCUUCGCUUGUUGUCAGCAUAGCUCUUUUGACGAUCCUGAGCUGCUAACAUUCUCUCCCUAAUUAUUUUCAACUUUUAAGCAGUUUGAUGGACUAUAUCUAGUCCCAUAAACUGCUUUUCCCCAGCCUCAAGCCAACAAGACGGCGUACGACACUUCUGUCCGUACAAAGCUUGAUAAGGUGCCAUCUUAAUGCUCGAGUGGAACCUAUUAUUGUAGGAAAAUUCUACCAAAGGUAAAUGUUCAUCCCAAUUACCUUGGAAUUCCGGGGUACAUGCUCUCAGCAUAUCUUCAAGUGUUUGUAUCGUUCGGUCGCUCUGACCAUCAGUCUGUGGAUGGUAACCUGUACUUAAACACAACCUGGUACCCAAUUCCUUUUGUAGACUUUUCCGAAAUCGUGAGGUGAAACGACUAUCACGAUCUGACACAAUUGUUAACAGAACACCGUGAAGCCUCACAAUUUCCUUCACGUAAGAAUUCGCAAGCUUUUCCAUAGACCAUUUCUCCUUGGCUGCUAUGAAAUGCGCACUCUUAGUGAAUCGAUCAACGACCACCCAAAUCAUGUCGUGACCAUUCUUUGUUCUGGGUAGUUUAGUGAAAAAAUCCAUAGCAAUGUCUUCCUAUUUACCCAAGGGCACAGGUAAAGGUUCUAAACUUUCGUAUGGUUUCUGAUGUUGUGUCUUGACUCACGCAUAAGUCACGCACUCGGCCACAUACUUUGCAAUAUCAAGCUUCAUCGUCGACCUCCAGUAAUAGGGUUUCAGGUCCCUAUACAUUUUAGUGCUGCCGGGAUGAAUUGAGUACAUGGUUUUGUGAGCUUCUUCCAUCAGAAUUUCUCCGACUCCUCCUGUCUUAGGUAUCCAAAUCCGAUCUUGGAACACAUUCAGUGCAUGACUGUUUACACCGAACACCAACAUUUUGCCGAAACGUUCUUCCUUUCGGUCAUUCUUCUCAGAAGCUUCCUCUUGAGCUUUCUUUAUACUUUCCACUAUUGUCAAGACAACUUCAAUUCUCAAUGCUCUUGGCCUCUUCCUUUAAAGAUUGACUUUCCGACUGAGAGCAUCAACAACAACAUUUGCUUUACUGGGGUGGUAAAGUAUCUCACAGUCAUAGUCCUUAAGUAACUCUAGCCAGCGUCGUUGCCUCAUAUUCAAUUCCUUCUGAUUAAAGAGAUAUUGGAGACUCUUAUGAUCAGUGAAAAGUUUGCACUUCGUGCCAUAGAGGUAAUGCCUCCAUAUUUUCAGAGCGAAACUACCACUGCCAACUUCAAAUCAUGAGUCGGGUAGUUCUUUUCACACUCUUUCAUCUGUCAAGAUGCAUACGCGAUCACCUUAUCUCUUUGGUUCAAAAAACAACCCAAUCCAACACCAGACGCAUUGCUAUAAACAGCAAAGUCUUCAACUCCAUUGGGUAGAGAAAGUACCGGUGCCUCACAUGGCUUCUUAUUUAGCUUCUCGAAUGCUUCUUUAUGCUUAUCACUCCAAGCAUAAGUAGCUCCUUUGUGGGUCAAAGUUGUUAAUGGAUUAGCGAUCGAAGAAAAGCCUUGGAUAAACCUUCGGUAAUAUCCAGCUAAUCCAAGAAAGCUUCGGAUCUCCGUGAGACUUUUUGGUUGUUCCUACUUCAUCACAACUUUAAUUUUUGCUGGAUCAACCAUUAUCCCUUAUUGGUUGACCACGUGACCCAAGAAUUGGAUGUCUCGAAUCCAAAAAUCACAUUUGGAGAACUUAGCAUACAGCUUCUCCUUCCUCAAGACUUCCAACACUUAUCGCAAGUGUCUACCAUGCUCCUCUUGGCUUUUCAAAUAAAUUAGAAUGUCAUCUAUGAGCACUAUCACAGAUUUAUCAAGGAACGGAUUACAAACUUUGUUCAUUAAAUCCAUGAAUGCUGCUGGAGCAUUGGUUAGUCCAAAUGACAUAACCAAAAACUCGUAGUGUCCAUAUCGUGUUCUGAAUGCAGUCUUCUCGAUAUCCUGCUCUCUUACUUUUAGAUGAUGAUAUCCUGACCUAAGAUCGAUUUUCGAGAAAUAGCUCGAACCUUGUAGUUGAUCGAACAGGUCAUCAAUCCUUGGCAACGGAUAUCUAUUCUUUAUUGUUGCCUUGUUCAGCUCUCUUUAAUUGAUGCACAUUCUCAUACUUCCAUCUUUCUUCUUGACGAAUAACACCGGAGCUCCCCAGGGUGAUGAACUAGGUCUUAUGAAAACUUUGUCCAAUAACUCCUGAAGUUGCAUCAUGAGCUCCUUCAUCUCCGUUUGUGCUAAUCGAUAAGGUGCUUUUGCUAUUGGCGUCGUCCCGGAUAACAAUUCAAUACGAAAUUUUACUUGCUGAUCUGGCGGUAAUCCAGGAAGAUCUUCGGGAAACACUUUCGGAUAAUCACACACCACCGGAAUGCUCUGCACCUCCUUCUUCUCUUUCUUAGCAUCAUUUAUGAAUGCUAGAUAUGAUGUACAUCCUUUGGCCAAACACUUUCUGGCUUUCAUCAAUGAAAUGAUUCCAGAAUUUACUCUGCGUUUAUCUCCAUACACCAUAAACGAUUCCUUCCCAGNCGACUCUUUCCCAGGCGGGUUUACUUUGACUAUCUUCUUCUUGCACAAUAUCUCAGCGUCAUUGGCGCUAAGCCAAUCCAUUCCAAGCAUGAUGUCGAAACUAUUAAGUUCGAUAGGCAAUAAUUCCUCAUGAAACUUAUUCCCCUUCAAAUCAAUUAAGAUGUUUUUCAUACAAUGGCUAACAGGUACAAACUUUCCACUAGCAACUUCGACUAAUAAAGCAUUAUCUAGUCUAUCGACAAGCAAAGCUAGUUUUCUACCAAAUUCAUGCGAAAUAAAGGAGUAGUUGGCUCCAGAAUCAAAUAAAAUUUGGGCAGGUAGUUUGUUAACGAGAAAGGUACCUGAAGCGACAUCAGCUUCAUCUUUAGCUGCUUCCAGUGUCAUCUGGAAUGCUCUCACCUUCGGCUUUGGCGGAAUGUUGGGUCUAGUUGCCUCCUUCUUUUUUGGACAAUCCCGUGAGAUGUGACCCUCCUCAUCGCAACCAUAGCAAACUUUUUUGGUGAGAGUGCAUUCAUUGGCAUAGUGCCCUGGAUUUCCACAUUUAAAAGAUGUGGCCACUACCUCACAUUUUCCAUGAUGUUUCUUCUUACAUUUGUCGCACCAUUUCACUUCGCCUCAUCCUCCUCUCGAACUAGACUUCGAGAACUUAUUUUUCUUGUUCGACCCCGAGGGUCCAUCGAACUUCCUUUUCUCACCAACCUCUAUCCUUUCCAUACCCUUUUCCUUUUGUUGGGCCUCCACAUGCUUAUCUGCUCGAAUAGCUGUUUUGAGAGUGGUUGCCAUCUUGACUGUCGGGCCAAAGUCGGCAGGCAGUCCAUUAGCGAACCUCUCGAUCUUGGAGAGUUCCGUUGGCACUAGGUACGGAAAUAACUUCAUUUUCUCAGUGAAUGCAGUAACAUAGUCAUCUAUGCUCAUCCUCCCCUUCUUCAAGUUUUGGAACUCAUUGUUUAGAUCUAUCUCCGAACAAUACUGCACCCUUAAUUGUUCCAAGAACUCCUCCCAUGACAUUUUCAGGGCUUCUCCUCGUGGCAUAGUAUCUACCAACAACUUCCACCUACUCAAGACUCCAGUCUUCAGUUAUCUAACUGCAAAGACAGUCUUCUAUUUGUUGCUACAGUCGCAACUUUCAAAUACCAUCUCCAUUUCGGAGAUCUAAUCCAUAAUCUCAACAAGCUUCGGGCUCCCAGAAAGACUUGGCGGCUUGGCGCCCAAGAAAUUCUUGUACAUUCGCAUGUCCUUGUUGUUUCUCCUUUCUGGGUCGUUCCUUCGUUCUCCUUGAGUCCCAACUUGACUCAUAAUGCGACUAUUGUUUCGUUCCUCCGAUUGUUCGGGAAUCAGUUCGGGUUCCUCAAUAAGUAUGAUUAGUUCGUCCCUUUUUUCAUGUAACAUCUGUCGCAUUUCUUCCCUUUGUUUGACUAACAUAACCCGAACCAUGGCUUGCACCCCAAUCAUUGUUAUUGGUUCUGGUGCUGCUGCUACAACAAGUAUUUGCUCAAUCACUGGUGGUUGAUUCCUGUUUUCAUCCAUGUUUCCAACGCCACUCCUGGUACUUACCAUUUUUUUAUCUACACACCGAAUAAGGUGAAAUUCGAUCCUCAUCCAUGAUAGAUAAUUAAAUCAUUAUUAUCACUCUGAAACGUUUACAUGUUAGUUCAAAUACCGUAGACGUACGCUUAGAAUCCUACACACAUAAGGUUUCUAGAUCCGGUCGGCAACAUACCAUAGAUCCGAAAAAAUAAUAUUAUAUAUGGCAACAUAUAACAUUUAGCACAUAAAAGCAUUUUAGGUAGCUUCCUAAAAUAUACUAGUGCUCGUGUCUAUAAUAUAACAGACACACAUCUCACAAUCUCCACAAAGCAUUCUAAGUUUAAGGUCUAGAAGUCCUACAAAUUCCUAGUUCGCUUAAACUAAUGCUCUGAUACCAACUGUGACAUCCCCAAAAUCUUGGCCAGAAAAGACCGGUUUCAUUUAUGCUUUUAAAAUAAUUUCAGAGUAAAUCCCUUGAUUUAAAAGAGCCGCGGAAUUUGUUCCCAAAAAACAAUAUGAUAAAAUAAAGUUUAUCAAAGCAUUUCAUCAAGAGAUGCAUUUUCAGUAUAUAACAAUAUUCAGGAUGUCAUGUUCCGAUAAACAGACCAAAAGCAUAAACAACAAAAGAUAGACCAUACAACAGUUACAUAUAACAACUGGUCUAAUAUCAAAAAAUCUUGAUAAGUCAUCCAACUUAUGCCCUUGCGCCACUUCCUAUAAUACAAAUAAAACUGAGUGGGUCAGGCUUGGGAGCCUGGUGAGCAUAUAGGGUUUUCAACCGGAAAUAAAUAAUUAUAUUUAAUUUCACCUACCAAUAAUAACCCGAUUACCCAUUCCCGUUAUCCUCACUUUAUGUCCCUAAAACAACAUCUAUCUCAAGGGACCUAAUCUAGGAUUUUCAUCGGGACGGACAUUACUACAAAGGGGUUUCCACAACAAUAGAUGUCCUAAAGGCAACCAUGAGGGGGAUAGAGUACACCGGUGAACACAUCGUUCACAACACCUAUAGGUUAUGNAGACUGUCUAGAAAGAGUGUGUGAUUGUUAUCCAUACUCCGCUGAAUAACUAGAUCCACAACAACAACAUCGAGGCCUCUCAUCUGUUUAUCACACAUCAACUAUCCACCCAUGUUCUACCCAACAUAUUAGUAGAUAAAAAAAUAUAUUUUUAUACAUAGUUUAAAACCUGCAUAGCAUUCUCAUUCAAUACAUAUUCCAAUCAACAGAUGAGACACAUACACAUAACACGUAUUUCAUAGAGAAUAAAUCAUAUCUAUGAGAUAGAAGAAAGUGAAUAUACAUUCACACAUAUAACAACAAAAUAUACACAUAACACAUAUUUUGUAUAAAAUACUUCAUAAUUAUGCAUUAGAAGAAGGUAACUACACACUCACUUGAUCAUAAGAUGAUCGGUCAACACUACGGCUCUAAGAGUAGUAUUCUUCGGUGAAACUGGGUUCACUUCACUCAUCGGGCUUCUUACGGGCAAAGCUUCGGCUCGAAAAAUCUUUUCUUCGCGGGAUCUUCGAGCUUCAGGACUUGCUUUGGGUCUCGGGAUGAUACUGGGGCUUCGGGGGUACUUCUUUGCACGUAAAUCGAGGUAAUAUGCAUGAGAGGAGAGAAUUUGAGCAACCAAACUGGCUGGCCCUUCAAAUCUAUUUAUAGGGCAAAAUUUGCACUUACCACGUCGUGGUACGGUUUACCAUGUCGUGGUGGCUGGGUCGUCACUACAUGCGUCAUUGCAAGUGGGUCUGACAAACUCCAGAGCUCCUGCCACGUCGUGGUGGCUAACAGUCUUGGGGUUUCGCGCCUCGAACUUUAGAAAUUCAUAACUUUCCCAUACGAACACCGUUUUCGACGUUCUUUAUAUCGACACGUAGGUGAGAAUACGCUCUACAACUGUCGUUUAGACUCUGUUGGCUAAUUUUGAAUUUAUUUUGAAUAUAUUAUAAAUAUAUUAACUUUAUAUUAUUUUUAGUAGGUCGGGAAAGGAAAACUCUGUUAUAAAUUCAUAACUUCUUCAUCUGACGUCCGUUUUCGCCUAUCUUUUUAUCGUUUCACUACUAUUAACGAGAUCUUUGAUUCUCGUUUAGAUUGUUUUGGCUAAAAAUCACUCGAUCUCAAAUCGAGGAUUCGGGCUGCAUACUGCUAAGUCGAAACUUCGGAAAAAUUAUAACUUCCUCAUACGAAGUCAGAUUUGGGCGUUCUUUUUAUGGACGCUCUCGGUUUAACGUAUCCUACGACUUUCAUUUAGAUUACUAAGGCUAGGUAUCGCUCUAUCUUUAAUUCGUAUUUUACCUCAUGCCGUGUCGUGCUGGUUCUGUCGCGAAACUUCGACAUGUCAUAAUUUCUUCGUUAUAACUCGGAUUUUGGCAUUCUUUAUAUAUUCAGAAACCUCGUUUCAACUACUACAACAUUAUCCAUAGAUAUCGACUUUAUCUAACAUUUCAUUUUGACGCUUAUUUUUAUCCUUAAUUUAUUUAAGUCACACAGUUAAGCACAAAACACAUAAUACUCAAAUAAUACACUUCUAUUAUUUCAAAACGGGUUACAAAGGUUAACCUAGACUAUUAUAUCAACGUUAAUGACAAGCCCAGAAACACAGGAGUUUCAAUUUUCUCCAUCUUAGAAUGAUUCCGUCCCCCGAAUCACACAUCUACAAACAAAUGCGGGUAGCGACUCAUCAUGUCACUCUCCGUCUCCCAGGUGAGAUUUGGCCCAUUCGUGUGUUUCCAUCGGACAAGCACUAACUCGACCAUCUUGCGUCGCAACUUCUUAGUCUUUCGGUCUACGAUUGCCUCUAGUUCUUCAACCAACCUUUUAUUCUCAUCGAUUCUCAACUUCGAAAGUGGAAUCAUGUCGGGUACUUCUCCCCUAAAUUUCCUCAAGUAACACACAUGAAAAGUGUUAUGAAUUCCAUUCAGUUCUUCGGGUAAUUCGAGCUUGUAAGCUUGGUUCCCAAUCCUUUGAAGAACUUUAAACGGUCCAAUAAACCUCGGACUUAAUUUUCCUCUUUUACCAAAUCUUAUAAGUCCCUUCCACGGUGAGACUUUAAGCAAAACCGAAUCUCCAACUUCAAAAGUCGUCUGUCUUCGCUUGUUGUCAGCAUAGCUCUUUUGACGAUCCUGAGCUGCUAACAUUCUCUCCCUAAUUAGUUUCAACUUCUAAGCAGUUUGAUGGACUAUAUCUAGUCCCAUAAACUGCUUUUCCCCAGCCUCAAGCCAACAAGACGGCGUACGACACUUCUGUCCGUACAAAGCUUGAUAAGGUGCCAUCUUAAUGCUCGAGUGGAAUCUAUUAUUGUAGGAAAAUUCUACCAAAGGUAAAUGUUCAUCCCAAUUACCUUGGAAUUCCGGGGUACAUGCUCUCAGCAUAUCUUCAAGUGUUUGUAUCGUUCGGUCGCUCUGACCAUCAGUCUGUGGAUGGUAACCUGUACUUAAACACAACCUGGUACCCAAUUCCUUUUGUAGACUUUUCCGAAAUCGUGAGGUGAAACGACUAUCACGAUCUGACACAAUUGUUAACAGAACACCGGGAAGCCUCACAAUUUCCUUCACGUAAGAAUUCGCAAGCUUAUCCAUAGACCAUUUCGCCUUGGCUGCUAUGAAAUGUGCACUCUUAGUGAAUCGAUCAAUGACCACCCAAAUCAUGUCGUGACCAUUCUUUGUUCUGGGUAGUUUAGUGAAAAAAUCCAUAGCAAUGUCUUCCUAUUUACCCAAGGGCAUAGGUAAAGGUUCUAAACUUUCGUAUGGUUUCUGAUGUUGUGUCUUGACUCACGCAUAAGUCAUGCACUCGGCCACAUACUUUGCAAUAUCAAGCUUCAUCGUCGACCACCAGUAAUAGGGUUUCAGGUCCCUAUACAUUUUAGUGUUGCCGGGAUGAAUUGAGUACAUGGUUUUGUGAGCUUCUUCCAUCAGAAUUUCUCCGACUCCUCCUGUCUUAGGUAUCCAAAUCCGAUCUUGGAACACAUUCAGUGCAUGACUGUAUACACCGAACACCAACAUUUUGCCCAAACGUUCUUCCUUUCGGUCAUUCUUCUCAGAAGCUUCCUCUUGAGCUUUCUUUAUACUUUCCACUAUUGUCAAGACAACUUCAAUUCUCAAUGCUCUUGGCCUCUUCCUUUAAAGAUUGACUUUCCGACUGAGAGCAUCAACAACAACAUUUGCUUUACUGGGUUGGUAAAGUAUCUCACAGUCGUAGUCCUUAAGUAACUCUAGCCAGCGUCGUUGCCUCAUAUUUAAUUCCUUCUGAUUAAAGAGAUAUUGGAGACUCUUAUGAUCAGUGAAAAGUUUGCACUUCGUGCCAUAGAGGUAAUGCCUCCAUACUUUCAGAGAGAAACUACCACUGCCAACUUCAAAUCAUGAGUCGGGUAGUUCUUUUCACGCUCUUUCAUCUGUCGAGAUGCAUACGCGAUCACCUUAUCUCUUUGGUUCAAAACACAACCCAAUCCAACACCAGACGCAUCGCUAUAAACAGCAAAGUCUUCAACUCCAUCGGGUAGAGAAAGUACCGGUGCCUCGCAUAGCUUCUUAUUUAGCUUAUCGAAUGCUUCUUUAUGCUUAUCACUCCAAGCAUAAGUAGCUCCUUUGUGGGUCAAAGUUGUUAAUGGAGUAGAGAUCGAAGAAAAGCCUUGGAUAAACCUUCAGUAAUAUCCAGCUAAUCCAAGAAAGCUUCGGAUCUCCGUGGGACUUUUCGGUUGUUCCUACUUUAUCACAACUUUAAUUUUUGUUGGAUCAACCAUUAUCCCUUCUUGGUUGACCACGUGACCCAAGAAUUGGACGUCUCGAAUCCAAAAAUCACAUUUGGAGAACUUAGCAUACAACUUCUCCUUCCUCAAGACUUCCAACACUUCUCGCAAGUGUCUACCAUGCUCCUCUUGGCUUUUUGAAUAUAUUACAAUGUCAUCUAUGAGCACUAUCACAGAUUUAUCAAGGAACGGAUUACAAACUCUGUUCAUUAAAUCCAUGAAUGCUGCUGGACCAUUGGUUAGUCCAAACGACAUAACAAAAAACUCGUAUUGUCCAUAUCGUGUUCUGAAUGUAGUCUUCUCGAUAUCCUGCUCUCUUACUUUUAGAUGAUGAUAUCCAGUCUAGAGAGAAGGGAGAGUACUUUUGUAUCAUGUUUUAUGAUCGUCUUAUUGAUUAUGAAACUAUAUCACAAUUGAUCCUCUAGGUAAACCUUAGUGCACUAGUAUGGCUAAGAAGUGGAAUUGGAAAUUGUUGAAAUCUUUAAAUCAAUAGGUGAAUCAUACUUCGUUCCAAAAUCAAGUCUUAGAGUCAUACUCCAAGAUUGUGACUUGAGUGACACAUCUUAAGAAGUUUUAACACACGCAUCAAAUGUAGAGUAGAAAAUUGUUUUUCUUACUCUUGCGCGUUUGAAAUUGGUAAAUUGUGAUGUCUUAGAUAAGACAAAGACCAACUAAUACCAAUUGUUAGUAGUGUUUGUCAUGAUAAGAAUCCGCACUACCUCUUGAAUAUUUUUUGUCAAGAAAUGUUUCUUGAUAAGAGAAUCUUAUAUGUCAAGAGGUCGGUAGGAGUCUAAAUGAUCUUGAAAAGUUUCUAGAACUAAUCAAGAGUAAACCUAUUAUUAAACACUAGCACAUGAAUUGAGGUUUGUAACCUAUCGUGUUGAGAAAAUUUUAUUUCUAUGCCAUUCCAGUAAAGUAACUGAUGCAUAUGAGUUCUACGAGUUCUCAAUUGACUGUAUAAGGGCAAUCACCUUGUUCAAUGAAAGUACGUUGACUAGUAUUGGUGAGCUGCUAAAUAACUUUGAAGCAAUGGUGGGACCCUUGAUGGCAAGAAAUUAAGAAUGAACAAGUUCUGUCCAUAAGAGUUUGGAUUUUUCACAAACAUUAUCUUGUGAUUAUGGUUAUGACAAAUUCACAUGGAUAAGAGCACAUACACCAUAAAAUCUAAGUGUCAUAAGGUUUCUCUUCUUCAUGAAAAUGAUUGUGAGGAAACGCUUUCACUAGGAAGAUUUUAAGGAGUUAGCUGUUGUGUAAAUUGCAUUCUCAAAUUCGAUUUUGAUUACGACAUCCCUCUUUAUAGUUCGAAUUGUGAGAUUUGGCAAUUAAUUUAAACAUUUAAGACUUAUUGCUAUAAGUACUGAAAGUGUUUAGACACACAUAUAAUCUUUCGAAGGAAAGGUAUGUGAGGUUGAGAAGCUUAGAUAAAGGCUUAUCAAAGCAUAUCAUAUUAGAAAUAUGAACUUUGGAAUUCAAUAAGUACCGAUUUCGAGAAGUCCAAAUGUUUUUUUAAAUACGUGUCAAAGUUAGUGGGAGCAUAAAUGUUAUGCUGGUAUGGAUAUAAUUAUCAAGUUAGUGGGAGCAUGAUUAUUAUUUUAAGUAUUGCAAGUUAGCAAUAUUAAUUAUAGAAAACAAAGUUUCAAUUUUCAAAGGUUGAAUUGAUUUUUUUUUUUUUCUAUAAUUAAGGGAGAGCAUAUUAUACUUCGUUUCGGAAUUUAAAAGCUUAGAUAGAGAAAUUUUAAUUAAAUUUUGUCAAAAUACAUAUAUGAAUGUUAUGUUGAAAAGGUUUAACAUAGGGGCAUUCUAUAUAUGGCAGUAUUAUAGCAAGAAACUAGUAAAGUAUCAUGUUUUUUCAUUAUAAAUCGUGUCCCAUACACUUCGGGUAUAGGAUCGAUUGAAUAUGUUGUAAUAUUCGAACUUUCUAAUUUUUCCAAAUGCCUAGGGCAUUAAGAGGGAAAAAGGACUAGAACCGGAUGUAAUGCCUGUAGAUCCGGGCUAGUCAAUUUAGAGAUAAUAGGGGCCGAAAACGACUUUUUGACAAAAGAUUAUUUAUAAUAAAUAAUCUUAACCAAGUUGUAGAAUAUGUCUCAAGAAUUCCGUACAUAUAAAGAACGCCGAAAUCCGAGUUAUAACGAAGAAGUUAUGACCCGUCGAAGUUUCGCGACGGAACCGGCACGAUACUGGGAAGCGUAAAUAGUGAAUUUACGGUAGAGCGACUUUUAUCCUUAGCGAUCUAAACAAAAUUCAUAGAAUAUGUUAAACCGAGAACAUACAAAAAAAAAAAAAAAACGCCCAAAUCUAACUUCGUAUGAGGAAAUUAUGGAUUUUCUAAGAUUUAGCUUAGCAGUGCACAACCCGAAACUCAUAUUUUAGAUCUAAAGGUUUUUGGCCUAUGCGACCUAAAUGAGAAUUGAAGAUCUCAUUAAUAGGAACUCAACGGUAAAAAGACAGACGGAAACAGAGUCUGUAUGUAGAAGUUAUGAAUUUUACACGGACAUUUAACAGUAUAAUCUCCUCGUACUGUUAAAUUUAAGAUCAGUUGAAAAUUAACCGACGGAGUCAAAAUGAAAGUUGUAGAUCUUAUUUUACCUACGCAUGGAUAUAAAGAACGUCAAAAACGGAGCCCUAUGUGAAAGUUACGGAUUUUAGAAGUCGGAAGUGUGCUGUGCGAAAAUGGAUGAUGUGGCACAAUCUUGGCCAUUGCUUUCUCUCCAAGUCUUGCCACUAGAUGGUGACAUGUGGCACUAAGUUCAUCCAUUUUGCACCCUAUAAAUAGAACCUCUCCCACCCUCAUUUUAUUCACACAUUUCCCAUUCUUUCUUCUCUUUACUCUCUCUAGAACCUCUCUCUAGCCCCAAAAUCACCCGAAAAGCCUAGGGAACCUCCCUAGCACGAGACGGAAGCCCCGGAGUGCUCGAAGGCUCCGAGAAGAAAAGCUUUCAGCUCGGGAACGCUGCUCCAAGCAAAGCCCGGUUUUCUAUAAAACCUGUUGUAAGUGAGCUACGCCUACGCUAUUUUUAAUAUAGCUUUUAUUUAAUUAUAGUAACGUCAUUAGGGACUUAUCGUAAGUAGUUGGACUAUUAUUAUGUGUUAUAUAAGUAUUUUUUAAUGCUUAUAUAAUAAUAAUAAUAAUAAUAAUAAUAAUAAUAAUAAUAAUAAUAUCUAGACUAUUAAUUAGUCUCGGCGAAUAAUAGACUAAACUCUAGUGGUAAUAAUACUAGUUUUCGUCGAAGGAAAUUAUUUUUUUAAAAAGCGAAGUGCUGUCUGAGUUCGGAAUCACCACCUUUUCAAGUGAGUGCAUUGUCCCUUUAGUCUUACACAUAGAUAUGAAGUAUUUUAUAUAAACUACGUGUUAUGUGUGCAUAUUAUCUGUAUACUUGCUAACUAUGCUGGAUGAACGAUUUUAUACAAGUGUUAUAUGAUUUUAACUGUAUAUGUAUUUAUAUCUACGUAAUAUGUUGGGUAAAACAUUGGUAGAUAAAAUAUGAGUUGGAUGAUGAGUUGAGAGGUGAUAUAGACCAUGAGGUAAGGGUGAGAGGUGGACGAUGUGAGAAUCCUUGUUCCCAAAUGUUGGCCUCGUCAUCUAGUAGAGUAUGGAUGACAACCACGGACUAUUCUAGACAGUCCAAUGGAACACUAGCAGGAUCGCAACCUGUAGGUGUUGUGAACGAUGUGUUCACCGGUGUACUCUAAAAACCCAUUGACAUGUAUUGCGAGUGGACUCUCAAAACCAAUACUGUCAAUAAACGAGAUAACCUUAGCAGUUGUGCUCGAAGGACAAUACUGGCAGCUGCGCCUAAGUGACAGAACUAGCAGCUGUGCUUGACAGAUGUGUCAUUGACAACGAUGGAAUUCGUACCUAUUCCUUAGGAUAAUCCCUAGGAAUGAACGAAUGAGAAAUAGCUGAUUCUUAGGGUAGACCCUUAAGAAUAAAGAAGAUAAUGGGGAUAGGUAAUUGAGUUAACUGUUUGAUGAUUAAACAUAAUAAUAUUAUUGUGGGUUGAAAACCCUAUGUACUCACCAGGUUUCCCAACUUGACCCACUCAGUUUAUUUGUAUCACAGGUGUCGAUAUGAAGUUACAUUACUUUGAGAGAUUAACGAAAUAUAGAUCACUAGUGUAAAUGAAUGUAAGUUAUGUUUCUGCUUAUGUUUUUGUAUUGACGAUGACAUCCCAAAUGUUUUUUAAAUGAAUAAAAAACGUUUCUUCGGAAAUGCUUUAAUAACGUAUUUAUCGUGUUUUUCUGGGAACAAAUUCUGCAACAUUUUUAUUAAAAGAGGUACUCUGAUUUUCAUAAAGCAUAAACAAAAUCGGUCUUUUUUGGCCGUGAAAAUAGGGAUGUCACAGUUGGUAUCAGAGCAUUAGUUUAAGCGAACUAGGAAUUUUUAGGAAAUUUCUAGACUUAAACUUAGAAUGCUAAGCGAUGAUUGUGAAAUGAGUGUUUGCUAUAUUUUAGACACAAGCACUAGUUUAUUUUAGGAAAGAUGCCUAAAAUGUUUUGUGUGCUAAAUGUUUUAUGUUAUAGCUAUAAAGAUGCCUUAUAUCCUAUUAUUUGUUCGGAUCUAUGGCCUGUUGCCGACCGGAUCUGGAAAUUUUAUGUGUUCAAAUUUCUAAACGUUUGAUUACGAUAUUAGAACUGACAUAUAAUUUUUCGAUGUGACAUGGAGAUCUAUACGUCUAUCAUAAAUAAAAUCUUUCCUAUCUUAAAAUUCUCGCCUCGGUACACCGAACGUCUGCUUGGGUGUACAAAACGUCAUGGUGAAGACAGAUUAGGAAAUAUCUGAGGAAGAUGACAACCUGAGCCUAAGAAUGUGAUGGGUCAUGCAUCGGUCGUUGCGCCUGCACCCGAACCUAUCACAAUGGCAAUAGUUCAGGAAGUGAUGCGAACCAUGGUAGACUGAGAAAAUAGAGGAAAUGAGAUGGAUUACGAUAGUGAAUGAUACCUAUCGGAAGAUAUCAUAAGAGAGGUAUCUUGCCUUUAGAAUACGUCUGAUAAAAUAGUAGUAGGUCUAGAGAAAUACGGUACAUCUGAAUGUACACAUUUGAUUGGCGGGAUGAUAGAACGAUUGGUGUAAUUCCUAAAGUUUUCCUAUCAUUUGGAAUUUCCAUGACCAACCGAGUUGAAGCAGAAUUGAUGAUUGAAGAUACGCAUGGAAGA